rnacentral:tmRNA from 1 species
GGGGGCGUACCGGGUUCGACGGGGGACAUGUUGGGUCGCCGGCAGCGUGCCGUGGUCCGCCGCCACGUAACAAGGGCGGAAACUCAUAGCUGCCAACACUGAGCUAGCACUGGCUGCUUAAACGCAGUCACGUCGUGAUCGCCGGCUCCCGCCUGCGAACCUGAUCACGGCGACGCAAAAGCAGGCUGCACCCAGCUGCCGCGACGAGAUCAAACCGUAGGCUGCGCACGGAGACACCUGCGACCCAAGUCCUCCGGACGGGGGUUCGAUUCCCCCCGCCUCCACCA